CCUGUGCGCUCACAUAAAAGCGCGUCUUUGGUAGCGAUCACGUCACUCGCUCGUAGAGGCUUGCAUUAGACGGGAAAAUGAAGGUCGUUGCUUUAAUUCUGAUUGUGGCGCUUUGCUGCGAGCAAAUAUGCUGCGCUACAACCGCCGCCAACCCAGCCAUCUCUAGCACCACUCCAAAGCCAUGGACAAAGAAAAUUAAAGACGGAUUGAGUACAUUUCUUCAGGGAGCUGCCGUAGUUGGUGCCUUCCAAGGUGCUUACCAGAAUCACAAGAGUUCCAAAAUUAAACCUCCUCACGAUGCCAAACCUUAAUAAAUUAUACAAUGUUAGCCUAAAA